UGUGUCAUCACAAUGCUCCAAUGUGAUAUCACAGUGCUCAAUGUGCCAUCACAGUGCCCCAGUAUGUUAUUACAAUGCUCAAGGUGCCAUCA
rnacentral:miRNA from 1 species